GAUGAACGCUAGCUACAGGCUUAACACAUGCAAGUCGAGGGGCAGCGCAGUGUAGCAAUACAUGGGCGGCGACCGGCGCACGGGUGCGUAACGCGUAUCCAACCUUCCCGUUACUCAGGGAUAGCCUUCCGAAAGGGAGAUUAAUACCUGAUGGUGUUUGAAUUCCGCAUGUUAUUCAAACUAAAGAUUCAUCGGUAACGGAUGGGGAUGCGUGACAUUAGAUAGUAGGCGGGGUAACGGCCCACCUAGUCUACGAUGUCUAGGGGUUCUGAGAGGAAGGUCCCCCACACUGGAACCGAGACACGGGCCAGACUCCUACGGGAGGCAGCAGUGAGGAAUAUUGGUCAAUGGGCGAGAGCCUGAACCAGCCAAGUAGCGUGCAGGAUGACGGCCCUACGGGUUGUAAACUGCUUUUAUGCGGGAAUAAAGAUAUCUACGUGUAGAUAGUUGCAUGUACCGCAUGAAUAAGGACCGGCUAAUUCCGUGCCAGCAGCC
rnacentral:rRNA from 1 species